rnacentral:rRNA from 1 species
AGAGUUUGAUCCUGGCUCAGGAUGAACGCUGGCGGCGUGCUUAACACAUGCAAGUCGAACGAAGCACUACCGACGGAACUUUUCGGAGGGAAGAUGGUAAUGACUGAGUGGCGGACGGGUGAGUAACGCGUGGGCAACCUGCCCCAUAGAGGGGGACAACAGCUGGAAACGGCUGCUAAUACCGCAUAACAAGGAGAGAGCGCAUGUUCUUUUCUUCAAAGAUUUAUCGCUAUGGGAUGGACCCGCGUCUGAUUAGCUAGUUGGUGAGGUAACGGCUCACCAAGGCGACGAUCAGUAGCCGGCUUGAGAGAGUGAACGGCCACAUUGGGACUGAGACACGGCCCAGACUCCUACGGGAGGCAGCAGUGGGGAAUAUUGCACAAUGGGGGAAACCCUGAUGCAGCGACGCCGCGUGAGUGAAGAAGUAUUUCGGUAUGUAAAGCUCUAUCAGCAGGGAAGAUAAUGACGGUACCUGACUAAGAAGCCCCGGCUAACUACGUGCCAGCAGCCGCGGU